CAAAGGAGCGAUCCGGUGGCGGAUGGGCAUGCGGCGCAUUAGCUAGACGGCGGGGUGACGGCCCACCGUGGCGACGAUGCGUAGGGGUUCUGAGAGGAAGGCCCCCCACACUGGGACUGAGACACGGCCCAGACUCCUACGGGAGGCAGCAGUGAGGAAUAUUGGUCAAUGGGCGGAAGCCUGAACCAGCCAGGUCGCGUGAGGGAUUAAGGCCCUGCGGGUCGUAAACCUCUUUUGCCGGGGAGCAGUGGUCCGGACGCGUCCGGGCCGGGAGAGUACCCGGAGAAAAAGCAUCGGCUAACUCCGUGCCAGCAGCCGCGGUAAUACGGAGGAUGCGAGCGUUAUCCGGAUUUAUUGGGUUUAAAGGGUGCGUAGGCGGGCAUUUAAGCCGGCGGUCAAAUGUCGGGGCUCAACCCCGGCCUGCCGUCGGAACUGGGUGCCUUGAGUGGGCGAGAAGUAUGCGGAAUGCGUGGUGUAGCGGUGAAAUGCAUAGAUAUCACGCAGAACCCCGAUUGCGAAGGCAGCAUACCGGCGCCCUACUGACGCUGAGGCACGAAAGUGCGGGUAUCGAACAGGAUUAGAUACCCUGGUAGUCCGCACAGUAAACGAUGGAUGCUAUCUGUCCGGGCCGAAUGAGGCCUGG
rnacentral:rRNA from 1 species